AAAGGAACACCAUUGCUCUCCAAGUUCUUAAAUUCCCUAAUUGGGGUGCCAUCGACAGAGAAUAUGAUGCGCUGGGGAUUCCAAAGAAUGGAAUAGGUGUGAAAAUCUGCAGUUGGGUCAAACCAUAGAUAGAAUUGCUGCUCUCUGUUUCCUUUGCCUUGGCUAAACACGUUAGUGUGAAGAAUGUAGGGGUCUCCACUCAAAUUCCCCAAGAACUCAAAGUCUAUCUCAUCCCAAGUAGACCCUUUCGAGGAUAGAUAAUAAGCGGUGACAGUGCCAGC
rnacentral:misc_RNA from 1 species